AAAAAAACAAUUGGUUAUGUAGUUUCCUUUUCAAACAGUACCUUGCGUUCCAAAUCAGCUAGCCCGAGCUAUACCAGAGCUCCCCUGUAUCAAAAAAAAUCCCGACUCAAAACAGAGGACAUGGCAUAUUGAUUUAUGCUCUCAGUUUGUAUUUCAAUAGCAAAAACGUGCUGCCUUUUUUGACGCUUUGAGGCCGCAAUAAAGAUCUGGGUUUUAUUGAGCGGUAGUAAAGUUCUUGACUUGAUCCAUUUUCAGCUCGAUAGUAAGCCCUUGCCUUUAACUUCAGGGGACCUGACACUAUAAGCUGUUGCAGGAGACUGGUGUCCUUUGCUUUUCAAUCUCAGUGCCAAUGUGGCAACCUAAUUUGUAAGGACAGGCAACCAAAGCUGUUUAGUAACCAUGGGAGAUGGCAAUAAUAGAAGCAGCAACAACAAUGAGAAGCCAGAGUGGCUGCAACAAUACAAUCUUAUUGGCAAGAUUGGUGAAGGAACUUAUGGUCUUGUGUUCCUUGCAAAAACCAAGUCUCCUGCAAAUCGUGGAAAGUCCAUUGCCAUCAAGAAAUUCAAGCAGUCCAAGGAUGGUGAUGGUGUCUCUCCCACUGCCAUCCGUGAAAUCAUGCUGCUUAGGGAAAUUACUCAUGAGAAUGUCGUGAAGCUUGUGAAUGUGCACAUUAAUCAUACUGAUAUGUCACUGUAUCUGGCUUUUGAUUAUGCUGAACAUGACCUUUAUGAAAUCAUCAGGCAUCACAGAGACAAGGGUAACAAUUUGAUCAACCAAUACACUGUUAAAUCAUUGCUCUGGCAGCUACUCAAUGGACUGAACUAUCUGCACAGUAACUGGAUUAUACAUAGAGAUUUAAAGCCAUCAAAUAUCUUAGUUAUGGGCGAGGGAGAGGAACAUGGGGUUGUCAAAAUUGCUGAUUUUGGACUUGCAAGGAUAUAUCAAGCUCCCUUGAAGGCAUUGUCUGAUAAUGGUGUUGUGGUAACCAUUUGGUAUCGUGCACCUGAGUUGCUUCUUGGGGCUAAGCACUACACAAGUGCUAUUGACAUGUGGGCUGUUGGAUGCAUUUUUGCUGAACUUCUGACUUUGAAGCCACUAUUUCAAGGGGCAGAAGCCAAAUCAACAUCAAAUCCUUUCCAGCUUGAUCAACUUGACAAGAUAUUUAAGGUCCUAGGCCAUCCUACACUGGAAAAAUGGCCAACACUUGCAAGCCUUCCACAUUGGCAGAAUGAUGUGCACCGUAUCCAAGAGCACAAGUAUGAGAAUACUGGGCUACAUAGUGUUGUACCUCUCUCUCCAAAAGGUGCUCCAUUUGACCUUCUUUCUAAGAUGCUAGAAUAUGAUCCUCAAAAGCGUAUAACUGCUGCACAAGCUCUAGAGCACGAUUAUUUUCGAAGUGAACCUCUCCCUGGACGGAAUGCCCUGGUACCCUCUCAACCUGGAGAGAAAGUCAUCAAUUAUCCUACACGUCCAGUAGAUACAAAUACAGAUUUUGAAGGAACGACUAGCCUUCAACCUCCACAGCCAGUGUCAUCUGGAAAUGCAGUUUCCGGAGGCAUACCAGGUACCCAUGGAGUUAACAACAGAUCUGCACCACGACCAAUGCAUCCUGGCCUGCAGAGAAUGCAAACUCAGGGCAUGGCGGCUUAUAAUCUCGCAUCUCAGGCAGGGAUGGGUGGUGGAAUGAAUCCUGGUAACAUCACUAUGCCACGAGGUGUCGCCCAGCCCCAUCAGCAGCAUCAACUGAGAAGGAAAGACCCUCCAGGAACGGGGACUGGAUACCCUCCUCAACAAAAAUCAAGACGCUAAUUAGCAAAUGGCAUCUAGACAGACUGACAAUUAAUCUUCAUUUUUUUUACAUCUAUGGAGCCCUACCUUGUCGCUGUGGAUGAAUGAUCCUGUUGAGUGCAUCCAAGACCACAUUGAAUUCAAGAAGGUUCUCCACUUGUCAUGUACGGGACAAUUAUUGUAGGCUUUUUCCCGUCGUCUUUGCUUGAGGCAAGUAAUAGCUUCAUUGCAUUCCUCUUCAGGAGAUUCUGAGUUUACACGUCCAAAACACAGAAGUGUAGCGUUGUUCAGUUCAAGACUACUAGCAUCUCAGUCUUAAAUGUGAAAGCAUUUCCACACGCGGUACAAGAGAGGUCAUUCCGCUAGUUGAUAUCAAGAUCUUACAAAAAGUCAAUUUCUGAAAGCUUUUAUUAUAUUUGCUAUUCGUACAAGAAAACUUCUUGUUGAUACACAUGAAGUAACAUGCGUGUGUGUAGACGCGCACAGAGAGAGCCAUGUCAGGAUAACCAUCGUUUCUCUCUCUCAAAUACUUGACCGACGGAGCAAAGGCAUUUCUUUUCUCAAAUGCAUAUUCUAGAUACGUCCAUGUAACCCGUUAUGGGUUUGAUUUGUUCUGGUCAUCUACCCGUGAUUGACUUC